GAUGAACGCUGGCGGCGUGCCUAAUACAUGCAAGUCGAGCGAACAGACCAUGCUCUUGCUCCUCGCACGUUAGCCGCGGGCGUGUGAGUAACAUGUGGAUAACCCACCUAUAAGACUGGUAUAUUUUCGGGAAACCGGCUCUUACACCGUAUAAGCUCUUGAUCCGUGGUGUUGGUUAGUUAAAGACGGUUUUUCUGUCAUUACUAGCUGCAUCUGUGCUGCUUUAGCUAGUUGGUAAGUUAAAGGCUUACCAAGGCAAGGCUGCGUGGGCGACGUGAGAGGGUGAUCGGCGACACUGGAAGUGAGACACGGUCCAGACGACUACGGGAGGCCGCAGUAGGGAAUGUGACGCAAUGGGCGGAAGCAUGACGGAGCAACGCGACGUGAGUGAUGAAGGUCUUCGGAUCGGAAAACUGUGUUAUGAGGGAAAAACAAAUGUGGAAGUAACUAUGCACGUAGUGACGGUACCUAAUCAGAAAGCAACGGCUAACUACGUG
rnacentral:rRNA from 1 species